rnacentral:lncRNA from 10 species
UUUAAAUUCAUUCUCUCUCUCUUGUUCACUCACUCUCCUCUGCCUGCCUUUGUUUAAUUUUGCUCUCAGACAGGCUAGCUUCAUGCGUGAUAUGCGUAGAAUUCCUGCAGGAUCGCAUGCCCACCUAGAGAACCAUUCCCUGAGGCCAAGUAUACAGUGGAUUCUGAUUGGCCAGACCUAGAGCUACUACAAAGGACUACAGAGUUCUUACGUG